rnacentral:rRNA from 1 species
GACGAACGCUGGCGGCGUGCUUAACACAUGCAAGUCGAACGGAAAGGCCCUGCUUUUGUGGGGUGCUCGAGUGGCGAACGGGUGAGUAACACGUGAGUAACCUGCCCUUGACUUUGGGAUAACUUCAGGAAACUGGGGCUAAUACCGGAUAGGAGCGCCUGCUGCAUGGUGGGGGUUGGAAAGUUUCGGCGGUUGGGGAUGGACUCGCGGCUUAUCAGCUUGUUGGUGGGGUAGUGGCUUACCAAGGCUUUGACGGGUAGCCGGCCUGAGAGGGUGACCGGCGACAUUGGGACUGAGAUACGGACCAGACUCCUACGGGAGGCAGCAGUGGGGAAUAUUGCACAAUGGGCGGAAGCCUGAUGCAGCAACGCCGCGUGCGGGAUGACGGCCUUCGGGUUGUAAACCGCUUUCGCCUGUGACGAAGCGUGAGUGACGGUAAUGGGUAAAGAAGCACCGGCUAACUACGUG